AACUAGUAAGACACACAAAUGCACAAGGGUACUUCUUCUCCCCCUAAAUCUGUGCACACAACAAACAGUCUCCAUGAACAUAACAGCUACUGUAACUCUAGCACCUGUACCAGCCAGAAUGUCUUUCUGACAUCUGCUUCAAGAACACCACAUGUGCACCAUAUCAGACAUCCUCUUUGACAUCUGUAAACAGAAUAGCAUUCUGUUUUAACACAUGUGCACUAAUAAUAGUUGUCCUUCUGUCCAGCCACAUACAUAUCACAACUUC
rnacentral:lncRNA from 1 species